rnacentral:rRNA from 1 species
CCUACGGGAGGCUGCAGUGGGGAAUAUUGGACAAUGGGGGGAACCCUGAUCCAGCCAUGCCGCGUGUGUGAAGAAGGCCCUCGGGUUGUAAAGCACUUUCAGUGAGGAAGAACGCCUGGUGGUUAAUACCCAUCAGGAAAGACAUCACUCACAGAAGAAGCACCGGCUAACUCCGUGCCAGCAGCCGCGGUAAUACGGAGGGUGCGAGCGUUAAUCGGAAUUACUGGGCGUAAAGCGCGCGUAGGUGGCUUGAUAAGCCGGUUGUGAAAGCCCCGGGCUCAACCUGGGAACGGCAUCCGGAACUGUCAAGCUGGAGUGCAGGAGAGGAAGGUAGAAUUCCCGGUGUAGCGGUGAAAUGCGUAGAGAUCGGGAGGAAUACCAGUGGCGAAGGCGGCCUUCUGGACUGACACUGACACUGAGGUGCGAAAGCGUGGGUAGCAAACAGGAUUAGAUACCCCAGUAGUC